GACGAACGCUGGCGGCGUGCUUAACACAUGCAAGUCGAACGAAAAUACCAAGCUUGCUUGGUUGAUUAGUGGCGAACGGGUGAGUAACACGUGAGUAACCUGCCCCUUACUUUCCUGGAUAACUGCUCGAAAGGGUAGCUAAUACGGGAUAUUCUGACCAUCCUGCAUGGGUUGGUUUGGAAAGGUUGUUUUUCUGGUAAGGGAUGGGCUCGCGGCCUAUCAGCUUGUUGGUGGGGUGAUGGCCUACCAAGGCUUUGACGGGUAGCCGGCCUGAGAGGGUGGACGGUCACACUGGGACUGAGAUACGGCCCAGACUCCUACGGGAGGCAGCAGUGGGGAAUAUUGCACAAUGGGCGCAAGCCUGAUGCAGCGACGCCGCGUGAGGGAUGAAGGCCUUCGGGUUGUAAACCUCUUUCGUCAGGGAACAAGGCACUGUCUUUUUGGUGGUGUUGAGGGUACCUGGAUAAGAAGCGCCGGCUAACUACGUGCCAGCAGCCGCGGUAAUACGUAGGGCGCAAGCGUUGUCCGGAAUUAUUGGGCGUAAAGAGCUCGUAGGCGGCUGGUCGCGUCUGUCGUGAAAACUUCCGGCUCAACCGGGGGCUUGCGGUGGGUACGGGCCGGCUAGAGUGCGGUAGGGGUAACUGGAACUCCUGGUGUAGCGGUGGAAUGCGCAGAUAUCAGGAAGAACACCGAUGGCGAAGGCAGGUUACUGGGCCGUUACUGACGCUGAGGAGCGAAAGCGUGGGGGAGCGAACAGG
rnacentral:rRNA from 1 species